UACGUAGGCAGCAAGCGUUGUUCGGAAUUACUGGGCGUAAAGAGUGUGUAGGCGGUGCUCUAAGUUCGGUGUGAAAUCUCCCGGCUCAACUGGGAGGUGCGCCGGAAACUGGGAGGCUAGAGUACUGGAGAGGUUGGUGGAAUUCUCGGUGUAGAGGUGAAAUUCGUAGAUAUCGAGAGGAACACCGGUGGCGAAGGCGGCCAACUGGACAGAUACUGACGCUGAGACUCGAAAGCGUGGGGAGCAAACAGG
rnacentral:rRNA from 1 species